rnacentral:rRNA from 1 species
UACGAAGGGGGCUAGCGUUGCUCGGAAUCACUGGGCGUAAAGGGUGCGUAGGCGGGUCUUUAAGUCAGGGGUGAAUCCUGGAGCUCAACUCCAGAACUGCCUUUGAUACUGAGGAUCUUGAGUUCGGGAGAGGUGAGUGGAACUGCGAGUGUAGAGGUGAAAUUCGUAGAUAUUCGCAAGAACACCAGUGGCGAAGGCGGCUCACUGGCCCGUAACUGACGCUCAGGCGCGACAGCGUGGGAUCAAACAGG